rnacentral:rRNA from 1 species
UACGUAGGGUGCGAGCGUUGUCCGGAAUUAUUGGGCGUAAAGAGCUCGUAGGCGGUCUGUCGCGUCGGUCGUGAAAACUUGGGGCUUAACCCUGAGCUUGCGGUCGAUACGGGCAUGACUGGAGUUCGGCAGGGGAGACUGGAAUUCCUGGUGUAGCGGUGAAAUGCGCAGAUAUCAGGAGGAACACCGGUGGCGAAGGCGGGUCUCUGGGCCGAUACUGACGCUGAGGAGCGAAAGCGUGGGGAACGAACAGG